rnacentral:rRNA from 1 species
CACAUGACUCUCGGCAACGGAUAUCUCGGCUUUCGCAUCGAUGAAGAACGUAGCAAAAUGCGAUACCUGGUGUGAAUUGCAGAAUCCCGUGAACCAUUGAGUUUUUGAACGCAAGUUGCGCCCGAGGCCUUCAGGCCGAGGGCACGUCUGCCUGGGCGUCACGC